rnacentral:rRNA from 1 species
CAUAGCCUACGGGGCGCAGCAGUGGGGAAUAUUGCGCAAUGGGCGAAAGCCUGACGCAGCGACGCCGCGUGAGGGAUGAAGGUCUUCGGAUCGUAAACCUCUGUCAGCAGGGAAGAACGGUCACUGUGCUAAUCAGCAGUGAAUUGACGGUACCUGCAAAGGAAGCUCCGGCUAACUACGUGCCAGCAGCCGCGGUAAUACGUAGGGAGCAAGCGUUAUCCGGAUUUAUUGGGUGUAAAGGGUGCGUAGACGGGAAUUUAAGUUAGUUGUGAAAUCCCUCGGCUUAACUGAGGAACUGCAACUAA